AUGGCCAAGGGAAAGGGGAAGUCUGAUGGUGAUGGGUGCUCUCGUGAGAGGACUAUUUCCUGGGCUGAUGAUCAGACCAAGUUUAUGUUGGAUUGGUGCAUUGAAUACAUGAAGGAACAAUAUGCGGGAUUUAGGUUCAGAAAGCAUCAUCUUUUGAAGUGUGCUGAUGCUUUAAAUAGAAAAUUUGCUAUGGGGGUGACACUUGCUCAAGUUGAUCGUCACUUCAGGCACUACAAAGAAAAUUGGAAGUACAUUGCCGCCGCAAUUAGCAAGAGUGGCAAUGUUUUCGAUGAUAUUAGAUGUGUGGUAACUAUCUCCGAGUCUGAAAAGUCUUGCCUCAAUGAUAGAGCAAGGCGCUUGAUUUCUAAGCCCAUCAAGUUCUACUAUGAGAUGCAGGAGCUAUUCACAGGCACUAGUGCUGAUGGUUCUUUGGCCAUGGACCAACAUACAUGCACAAUUGAUUCCGAUGACUCGAACAAUGAUGAAGGGUUGUAUGAUCUCAACUGCUAUCCACAGUAUGAGGGCCCUCUUGAGGAGGAUUCUGACACUUUGCCAACAACACAUUGUCGUAAAAGACCUCCAGUACCUGUAGGUGGUGAUAAUUCAACAUCUAGCACUAGCCGAGUUGGUAAGAAGCGCCCAAGAGGUAGCAAGUCACCUACUAAGAAGCCACCAAGAACCAAGAGUCGUUUCGUGGAGUCCGCUGAAGAAAUCAACUCUACAUUGAGCCUCGACUUCUCCGACCUCACUGCCGGCACGUCGAUCCUCGUCGCCGGCGACGCACUCAUCAGUCCACCAGCGCUCCAGCUGACGAAAAAUAGCCGGGCGUCGUACCGGUACAAAGUGCCUCUAUGGAACGGCGCCUCGAGCGAGAUUGCUAGCUUCGCCACCGCCUUCUCCUUCUGGAUCACCCCAGAGAUCGAGGACAGCCCGAACGGGAUGGCCUUCUUCCUCGGCCAUCUCCCUUCGUUGGACGUCCCCCGCAACAGCAGCAGCAGUGCCGGCGGCGGCCUCCUCCCGGCCUUCGCGGACGGGACAGGCGAGAGCCGGAUCGUGGCGGUGGAGUUCGACGCCUUCCUCAACCAUGUCGGCAUCGACGUCAGCUCCGCCAACUCCACGGCCGCAUCCGCGUACGCGACGGCGACCUGGCCGGGCAAGAACCUCACGUCGUCCAGUGUGAUGGAGGCCACCGUGAAGUACCACAAUGACACCAAAUUGCUGGCCGUCGAUCUCCUCAUCGGCGAUGCCCUGUACCAGGUCAAUGCAACCGUUGACCUGCGCAGAACCCUAGGGGAGGAGGUCGCAGUCGGCUUCUCCGCGGCGAAUGGCGCCGCCGCCGGGCUGCACAGGAUACUGUCGUGGUCGUUCAGUUCCACUCUGCCCGAACCAAAGCGGGAGGCGCCGCCGCCUGCUGAACCUCCUCUCCCAACCAGCAGCUACAACCACAGGAAGGGAGCAUUAGUCCUACUAUUCUUAGGAACAAUCGCCAUGAGAAGCAGCGGCGACUCCGUGCGGCCGCCGGUGCAAGCUCAGGUCUGCUUCCCCGCGCAGAAACGUCGGAGCGGGCGGCGCAGCGGCGGCUCCACGGAGUGCCUGACCAGGCUCGUCAUGUCGUGCUUCACCGGCGUCUCUAUCAUCGACGGCGAGCAGUGCUGUUACGAGGCGUCGGCCGUGGUGGACGCCGGCGGCGCGGACAGCGGGUACCACUUGCUCGUGGUCCGUGGAUACUCGCGCACCAAACAAGAGUUGUCCGCCGGCGAGAGCAUCACCUCCGAUGCUUUCACCGUAGGAGGCCAUUGCUGGUACAUCGAGUACUACCCCAAGGGCGAAAACCCAGACUGCGGCGACUUCAUUUCUCUCUAUGUCACCAAUUACGACGACAGUCUCAAAGAGCCCCUGGAGACCAAGUUUUGUUUCAGCUUCGUUGACGAGGUUGAGAAGCAGACGCCAAUGUACAUUCGUGUGGCUGGUAAGACUUGCCGAUUCACCGACGGCCGUUGUUCCUGGGGCACCGACAAGUUUGUGAGAAGAGAUGCCCUUGAACGAUCAUCGGACCUAAAGGGUGAUUGCUUCACCAUCCGGUGUGAUGUCAUGGUCAUUCGCAAGGAUCCCAAAGCCGAGGAUGCCGGUGGUCAUGACACCAAGGUGCUCCUGUCUGACAUAGACCAGCAUUUUAACAUUCUCCUUCAAACCAAGGUGGGUGCUGAUGUGACAUUCAAGGUCAGCGGCGAGACCUUCGUCGCACACCGCUGUGUGCUCGCUGCCCGAUCCAUGGUGUUCAUGGCACAACUAUUUGGCCCCAUGAAGGAGACAUCCGCCGUCAUACAGAUCAAAGACAUGGAAGCAAAAGUGUUCAAGGCACUGCUUAGCUUUAUCUACACAGACUCAUUCCCUGUGAUGGAGAAGGCCACCAUGGAGGAGGAUGCAAUGGUGGAAGUUAUGGAAGAUGGGCAAGAAAAGGAGGCAGUAGAGGAUGAAAUGUUGCUGCAAUGGCUUCAAGACUUGUUGGUAGCGGCUGACAGAUAUGAUGUCCAGCGGCUCAAGUGCAUCUGUGAGAAGCAGUUGUCUGAGAACAUAGGUGUGAGCACGGUGAUGUCCGCUCUUGCUCUAGCCGAGCAGCACCACUGCCAGGGAUUAAAGGAGGCGUGCUUGAAGUUUAUCCAAGUCCAGUCCCCCUCGUGCUUGCAAACAGUAAUGGCAACUAAUGGUUGGGAUCAUGUAGUUUCGACCUAUCCCUCAGUUCUGAAGGAGCUCUUUCUCAAGUUUGCUUCGAACCAGCGAAAGUAA
rnacentral:rRNA from 1 species